rnacentral:pre_miRNA from 1 species
UUUUUACUCCCUCCGUCCCAAAAUUCUUGUCUUAAAUUUGUCUAAAUACGGAUGUAUCUAGUUACAUUUUAGUGUUAGAUACAUCUGUAUCUAAACAAAUGUAAGACAAGAAUUUUGGGACGGAGGGAAUACUAC